AGAAUUGCAGCAAGAGUUACCGAGAAUUCAGUGAUCACUGUGUCAUUAGGCCGUGUUCCGAGAUUGGGUUUCUCCCCGGUAAAUCAGUCCCUUCUCUCAGAGGUUCCCAUUGUGGAAAGUCCAAGUUCUGUUGGCGGAGAAAUGAAGGAAAGGGGUGGGACUGUAAUCAGGGAGCAUGUUCUUGAUUUUCUAUUGAUGAUGAAUCAUUCUGAGGAAGGUGAUAAUCCUGUACCUAAAUCUGUGUCUAAUUUGGUUGUUCACAUCAUAGAUACACAUGUGGAUCACCUUCAAGAUGUUGUGACGAAGCUGGAGAUUGAGUUGGACUCAAUGGAACUGGAAA
rnacentral:misc_RNA from 1 species